UCUUCCGCGGCUGCCCGGCCGGGGCGCUCCUCCUGCCCUACACCCGCUGGCGGAAGCCGGAGUCCAAGCACGACCCCAACUACCCGCACACGGGGCGGCCAGAGCUCGGCAGCGAGAAGGGUCCGUCCUGCCAGGGCAGCGCUCCUGCUGCCUUCCCAGCUGGGACUGCGGACAGCGAGCGACCGCGGCGGAUGAGAAACUGUUCUGUUCUUGUACAGUGCCCAAGGCUUGUCAUGCGAGAAACAACAGAAGCACAACGUGUUCUCAGUGAAAAUAUUUACAGCCCAAGAAUCUGGCUCAAAUUUUGUUUGGCUUCAUCCAGGUAUGUAUUGGAGAACAGUCUAAACUUUAGCAAAUUUUAGAGAGAUAUGUUUAUUUGAAAUAGUUACUUUGGGCAGCUCAACAUUUACUGCUUGAGAGUGCUUUUGGAAAGGCAUUUGCUGUGGGUUAUUCAUAUUUUACCCUGACAGAGAGCUGCCAGCCUGUUCUGCAGUGCCCCCACAGCACUCAGAACUCAGACCUACAACAACAAGUAGUAAAGAUAAGGAAGCCACAAAUUAUUUCUUGCACUUUUAAUAUCAUAAGAACAAGCUAUUAAAAUUUCUAAUAGCAAUAAUAAUAAUAAUAAUAAUAAUAAUAAAAGGUAGAGUAACUGGUAGGUUUGGGGGAUUUUUGGUGGUGUUUUUUUCCCCUUUUUUUUGUUUGGUUAUUUAGUUUUUUAAAAUUAAUCAUACAAGAGAUCUUAAACAAUUUCAAAAACUUACAAAAUAUAUUCAAGUGUGGAAAGUUACUUUACUGGUAAAACAGCAUUUCUUUAUAAUGUGCUUUUCUCCAGACAGGUUAAGGAAGCACAGGCAUAUCAGAACAAACCAUUCAUACCAUCAGAACAAAUCCCUUUUCUCCAACAUAGGCAUUUUAAAUCAAUUUAACUGUAGUAUGCUAAAAGAACACAGCAACAGAAA